AAGCACUCAUAUGAUAAAACAUGCAUUCGGGCAUAUUAUGUUAUUUCACAGACGUAGAUGUUAACUGCAAGCGUGCAAAUGAGCGCAGCGCG